rnacentral:rRNA from 1 species
CCUACGGGAGGCAGCAGUGGGGAAUCUUGGACAAUGGGGGCAACCCUGAUCCAGCCAUGCCGCGUGUGUGAAGAAGGCCUUCGGGUUGUAAAGCACUUUCAGCCAGGAGGAAAGGUUACCCCUUAAUACCUGCUGUAUGUGACGUUACCGGCAGAAGAAGCACCGGCUAAUUUCGUGCCAGCAGCCGCGGUAAUA